AAUAUUUUCAAAUUUCAAAAAACAUUUCAACGGCAAAAUUAUCUUAUUUGAUCUUCCCCAACUUUAUAAUUCUUCAAAUCUCUCAAAUUCCUCUCUCUCUCUCUCUUAACCCUAACGUAUUUCUCAAAUUUGAAAUAUGUUAUCAUGCUUACUGUUCUCCAGGAAAUGCUGAGUAUCCUGAGGAGCCAUUCAAUCUCUGUGAUGCAUUUAGCAAUCCUCAACCUCAGGAAAGCCUGCAGAUUCUGCCACACCCAGUUUGGGGCGACUACGGAUACCCAACGGAGAGAGGUGAGGGUUGGAUCGGUGAUCCCAGGACCUGCGAGCUUGAUGUUCGAAGAUUAUCUCAAUCACUUUACUUCUGUCAGGAUCCUGGUACAGAACCUGUAAAGAGGCACUGGCCAUCAAUAGACUUGGGGACUGAAAUUUAUGUUAGUGGUCAGCAUCAAGUUGCAGAAUGGACUGGCAUGUGGGAUUUGACACCGACACUGAUCUAUUAAUGGAGCUGCCAGAAGAAUACACUUUUGAAAUUGCUCUUGCAGAUUUGAUUGAUAAUUCCUUGCAAGCCAUAUGGACCAAUCGUGAAAAUGAUAGGAGAUUAUUAGGUAUGACAUUUGUAUGAUGACCAUAUUUUUGCUUUGCUGCCUAUUACAUUUACUUUUAUGUGUU